CGGCGCUGGCCUCCAUUGCCCAGCUCUUAGGAGACUAACACUGGGGAUUUGGCUGCUAGGGGAGGGGGUUGUCGGUCUGGUCUGUAUGUUGCACUGCGGCCCGGGUUUCUCCUUUCGGAAGCUGAGCGGGAAGGCGUUCGGAGGGCUGUGUGCUUGCAAAUUCGUGACUCGUGAUUCCUGUGCAGUCUCUUGGGUUCACAGUUUUCGUAUUCUCUGAUAGGACCGCAUUCAUUCAUGUGAUACCGAUGCAAAGUCGUCCGCCAGGCUGUAGUGUCUGACCAGAGGUCUUAUUAUUGGAGCCUAAAUUUAUUCAACAACUGUUGCAGUGUUGUGUUCCUUUCGGGUGAACAUUGAAGGGACUCAGCCAUACCUAUACAUGUAUCCACUCUCCCCCAAACUCCCCUCCCAUCCGGCUGCCACGGAACAUUGAGCAGAGUUCCUUGUGCUAUAAAUUCUGGAGAGUCCAAGGCCAAGGGAAAACUCUCUUCCUGCUUCAUGGUUGGCCCCUUCUAGCUAUGUAAUCACAAGACUGAAGUGAUGUGGAAGUUCUCUGAGAUUUCUAAGAGCACCAACCCCAUUUGUGAGGGCUCCUCCCUCAUGAUUUAAGUACUUCUCAAAGGCUCCACCUUCUAAUACCAUCAUCUUUGGGGAUUAGGGUUUCAAAUUCUAACUUCAAGGGUUAGAACUUUGAGAGGGACCCUUAGGUCUACCUCAGUACCCGUUAAACUAUCAUCACAAUCAAGGUAACAAUCAUACAUCACCCCCAAAGUACUCUUGUGUCCUUUUGUAAUCCAGUCUCUCCCUCCAUCGCCAUCCCUAGCAAUCACCUUCUGUCAAUAUAUAUUAGUUUGCAUUUUCUUGAAUUAUAAUAAAUAAACACAUACACUAGGUUCCCUUUUUACCUGGCUUCUUUGACUCGAAAUAAUUUUUAUAUUCAUCCUUGUUGCUUGUAUCAGUUGUAUGUGUGCUUGUUUUGUUUUUUUACUGUGUAGUAUUCCAUGGUAUGGAAUUACUGCUGUUUGUUUACCCAGUUAUCUGCUGGUGGGCAUGUGGAUAUCUAAGUUUUGUCUAUUACAAAUAAAGUCACUAUGACUAUGAACAUUUGUGUACUAGUCUUUGUGUAGAUGUUUUUGUUUCUCUUGGUGAAUACCUAGACAUAAGACUGACUGAGUCAUAUGAUAGGUAUAUGUUUAACUUUUUAAGAAACAGCCAAACUGUUGUGCAAGGUGACUGUAACAUUUUACAUCCACACCAGCAAAGUCGUGAGAGUUCCAGUUGCCCCAUAAAUUCAUCAACACUUAGUAUGAGGAUUUUUUUUUCUUUAUUUUAGUCAUUCUAAAGGGUGUG
ensembl:lncRNA